rnacentral:rRNA from 1 species
CGAUUGAACGCUGGCGGAAUGCUUUACACAUGCAAGUCGAACGGCAGCACGGGCUUCGGCCUGGUGGCGAGUGGCGAACGGGUGAGUAAUGCAUCGGAACGUGCCCAUUUGUGGGGGAUAACUACGCGAAAGCGUGGCUAAUACCGCAUACGCCCUGAGGGGGAAAGCGGGGGAUUCUUCGGAACCUCGCGCAAUUGGAGCGGCCGAUGUCAGAUUAGCUUGUUGGUGAGGUAAAGGCUCACCAAGGCGACGAUCUGUAGCGGGUCUGAGAGGAUGAUCCGCCACACUGGGACUGAGACACGGCCCAGACUCCUACGGGAGGCAGCAGUAGGGAAUAUUGGACAAUGGGCGCAAGCCUGAUCCAGCCAUGCCGCGUGAGUGAAGAAGGCCCUCGGGUUGUAAAGCUCUUUUGUCCGGAAAGAAAAGCGCCGGGUUAAUACCCUGGUGUCCUGACGGUACCGGAAGAAUAAGCACCGGCUAACUUCGUG